CUGAAAGACGGACCACUUACCCCGAAUCACCUAGCAAGUUGCAACCUCUGUUCCUGAUGAUCAAGGAUUGAAACAGGACAGAUGUUGCCCCUUUGGCAAAAAAAAAAGCAUGGAAUAAUUGAACCUAAUGACAAAAGAGAACAAGAAUUAAACUGGGUCUUAUCUCCUCUGGCAGCAUAAAGAAAUCCCCCAAGACCCUUCUUCUUCCAGAAGCCUGCAACCCCCUUCCGUUGUCACGAAUGGAGGCUAGCAGGAAUGCACAACUGAGAGGGACUGUGUUUUGUGAACCUAGCCCGUCAUCAUGUGGUCCGAAGCGGAACUGCAAAGAGCUUUUGGAACAGGC
rnacentral:lncRNA from 1 species